rnacentral:lncRNA from 1 species
GCCUGAAUUAACUGCUGUUUUUUCUCUGCCAUGUUCAUCUCCAACUUCUGACUUCUGUGAGGAUUCUGCAACUCUAUCCUGCAAAUCUAUUGGAACAAGUUCCUCGGCAAUCGAACUUUGUAUCUCUGUGUUCUCUUUGGGAUCUAAUUCCCUUGGAAUCUGCUCAACAGAUGCUAUUUUAGUUGUUUCCUCUGGCUGCUGAAUAUCAUCAAUUAUUUGAUUGCCUUCUACGGCUGAUAGUUCUGUGCUUGAUUCCUGAUAAAAGAUGAAACACAGAGUUGCUCAGUGUGACUAAUUUCUAUCAGUUAUUUUCCUUAUUUUAUGAUGCUUAGACUUCAUUUGCAGCUCCUAGAAUGAUUGAGAGACCUGACAAAUAGAAAUUUAAAAUAAUAACAGAAAAAAGAAUAAUUCUAGCUUCAAGAAUUUUACUUGCCUUUUCUCCUAUAUAAGAUCUAAGUUAUUCUACUGCACUCCCUCUCCCAUAAUAUUUUGACUUUCAAAAGGUCCUUCAAUAAGCUAACCAUGUUUUAUACUAAAACCUGGAAUCUCUUUCGUCAUUUGAACAGAUUCAUAAAAUCAACAAGACUGUUGCACUUUCUGUAACAGUUACAUUUGCAUAAAAUAUUAUUCCAAUCAAAGUUUGAAGGGAAGAUUCAAUGUAGUUUGACCUCUUCUGUUACUGUUGUGGUUUCAAUCCGGGCAACUGAAGCUUGGCCUGGAUCCUCAACAGUUUUAUCUUCAACCUGCUUUUCAAUUGUAUCAUUUUCAUCGGUCUUUUGAGCUUCGACAUUGAGCUGUUAUAGAUUCAAGCUUCAAUAUCGAUAUAAAAAAGCAACAAACAAAUAAGAUGAACAAAGUUCAGUUUCUGUUUCCUGACCUCUUCAUAUGUCUUGUCUUCAACCAGUUUAUCCUUUUGCUCAUCUUUUUCAGAGCCAUCUUUCGUCAGCUCUUCCAAAUGGGAAGUUGAAUAAGAUGUCUCUGUAACUUCCUUGUCAUCAAUGACCUGUCAUUUUUGCCGCCUCAGUUAAUAGUUGUCAAAAUAAUAAAUUUUACAAGAGAAUAAUAGAUACAAGAAUGAAUAGGAAAUACAUGAAAUUAUAAGGUUUUGAGCUAGUAUUGCUUACCUCUUCUUUUGAAGCUUCAUUCAGUAUGAUUUCAUUUCCUUCAUUUGUUUUCUCACACUGAUUUUCUUCCUCAUUGGCUGUAGUUCCAUGCUUUAUGUUCUCAGCAGGCAAUGCUGAAGUCAAAGACUGCUCAUUUGGUUCCUCCACUUGGAGAGCUUGAGCAGAAGCAGUUUCAUCUUUCGUAGCAUCUUCAAGCUCCUGAAACUCUUCUUUUUCUGAGUAUAUCUCUGCUGUUUUGUGUGCUUCAGAAGUAUCUUCUGAAAUCUUGUCUGGAAUGUCUGCUUCAUUUAUUUUCUCCUCUUCUGUCUUCUCAACCAUGCUUAUAUUUUCUUCCUCCUUUUCCUUUGAAACCAACGGAGAGCAUGCAGUCCCCUCUGGUUUAUUAGCUGAGAGAGUCUGCUUACCAGUUAUUUCACCUCCAGUAAUGUCAUCUAGCUUUUUGGUUAUUUCUUCCUUUGUUUCGCCAUAUUGUAUCUCCUCACCUAUGGCUCCAGUUCCAUGCUCCCUUUCCUCGGAAGGCAAUGUAGAAGAUGUAGUUUCAAUCUGCUCCUCUGGUUGAUCGUUUUGAAGACCCUGGUCAGCAAUUGGUUCUUCUUCUGAGACUGUUUUAGGCUCUCUUUGUUCUUCAUUGGGCACGCCAACCUCUUCUAUUGUCUUUGUGUCAGAAGAAUCUUCUAGACUCUCAUGUUUUAUUUCAGCAUCCUUCUGUAUCUCUUCUUCAAUGUUCUCAAUUGGGUGUGCAGUUCUGAUCUCUUCCUCCUCAGAAGGCAAUGUGCAGGUAGAAAUUUGAAGUUGCUCCUCUGUUUUCUCUUCUGGAAGUGUACUAGGGCAACUAAUAUCAUCUUUCAAAAUAGUUUCAACUCUUUGACAUAUGUAAUCAGAUGAUGUUUCUGGUUCUCUUUGGUUUCUUCAACUUUGUUGGCUUCCAGUUCUUCUGCUGUUAGGCUUUUCGUGGUUUCUGCAUCUUGUUCUGUGCCCUUGUCUUCAGAAACAUGAUCUCCAUCUGAAGCUAAUUCAAUUUUCCCCAAUUCAUCUUUGUUUGAAGUUUUGGAGGCUUCACUCUUUGUCUUUUCAAGCUCAUGAUCGCAAUUUAGUUGGUCCACCUUUUCCACUGUUAGGCUCUUCUCAGUUUCAGCCUGAUCGUUGGGCAUGUAAAAUGCCUCAGGAUCUCUCUUGAUUUCGUCAGCUUCAUCCUUGUCUACAGUUUCCGCAUUUAGACUCUGCUUUUCCACUUCAUCAUUGUCAUUAGUUGGGACUUGGGUCGUCAGGUCAGAGGAUAUUUCUUCAAGCUGCACAUUCUCUACUUCUUUAGUCUCUUGAUUAGCAUCACUCUCAAUAGUUUCUAGACUCACCUUGACUGAGUUGGUAUUCGAUGUAUUUACAAUCUCCUCAUUCAUCUCAGUGUCGUUUAAGCUUGUCUCUGCUCUUACUUCUGUCACAGCUUCAAUACGACUCUCGUCAUGACAGAGUUUUGAGUCAUCGAUAAUCUCAAUUUUUUCUUCUGCUUCUGUAUCUUCAUUCUGCACACUUGCAGGGUCUCCAGACUCUUCAUCCUGUGUCCUUUCUUCUAAUUCUUUUAUGACAUGGGAUGCUUCUCUGUCAUUGGUUGAAUGUUCUUCAACCUCUGAGUUUUCUCCUUCUAUCUGUUCCUUGGAGUCUGCUUCCUUGAGACAUUCAGUUGAGACUGAACUGUAGUCUUCCACCUGUGAAUAAGUAGUUAAAAUGUUUAAAAAUUUAACAUCUGAAAAUGCUAUGUGAAUAACUAUUCCUUAUGUAUUAGCGAGAUGACCUCAUUAGUUGUUUCAUUUCCUUUUGAUAAUGGAUGAAGUUCAUUUGUGCUACUUUCUUCCUCCAUGACAUGUUCUUUGAUGUCUUCACUAUUAUCAGCUUUCUCAACUUCCUUAUCAAUCUGCCAAAAAUUAAUUUUUGUCAAUAUAACAAAAAGACACCUCUUUAUAUAAUCAUAAAGACAAAAUAUUCACAAGUGUUCUUUACCUCUUCAGACAAAAGGACAGUCUUGGUAACCUCGUUUGCAUUUUCAUCUCUGUUAACAUGGUCUUCAUCCUCCAGUUUGUCUUCUGGUUCGUCUUUUAUCUGUUUCUCAGAUUGCUCCACUGGUUUCUCCACUAGAAGAAUUUGAGAAGCAUUUGUUACAUCUGUUUCUUCUCUCUCCUCAAUCAUGUCUUGAGUUACUUGCCAAGUUUCCUUUGUGGAGCUUUCGACGUGGUCAGAUGAUGAUAUCUUAGUCAAAUCUUCCACUGAUGUAGACUCCUCAGUUAUUUCUUUACCUGAAUUAACUGCUGUUUUUUCUCCGUCGUGUUCAUCUCCAACUUCUGACUUCUGUGAGGAUUCUGCAACUCUAUCCUGCAAAUCUAUUGGAACAGGUUCCUCGGCAAUCGAACUUUGUAUCUCCUUGUUCUCUUUGGGAUCUAAUUCCCUUGGAAUCUGCUCAUCAGAUGCUAUUUUAUUUGCUUCCUCUGGCUGCUGAAUAUCAUCAAUUAUUUGAUUGCCUUCUGCGGCUGACAGUUC